rnacentral:rRNA from 1 species
AGGACGAACGCUGGCGGCGUGCUUAACACAUGCAAGUCGAGCGGUGAUCCUCCUUCGGGAGGUGAGCAGCGGCGAACGGGUGAGUAACACGUGGGCAACCUGCCCCUCACACUGGGAUAACCUCGGGAAACCGGGGCUAAUACCGGAUAUGACCUCGAGCGGCAUCUCUUGAGGUGGAAAGCUCCGACGGUGAGGGAUGGGCCCGCGGCCUAUCAGCUUGUUGGUGGGGUAAUGGCCUACCAAGGCGACGACGGGUAGCCGGCCUGAGAGGGCGACCGGCCACACUGGGACUGAGACACGGCCCAGACUCCUACGGGAGGCAGCAGUGGGGAAUAUUGCGCAAUGGGCGAAAGCCUGACGCAGCGACGCCGCGUGAGGGAUGAAGGCCUUCGGGUUGUAAACCUCUUUCAGCAGGGACGAAGCGAAAGUGACGGUACCUGCAGAAGAAGCACCGGCUAACUACGUGCCAGCAGCCGCGGUAA